ACCACGCCUGCUCCUGCCAGCUGGGUCAGGAGUUCAGCACAGCACUUCAGGCCCCCAUUCCGUUCGCUCUGGGUGCCUUUCCCUGGGCCCUCACCCCUCAAGCCAAGGGAGCGGACCUCCCAGAGUCUCUGGUGGUUCCACCCGGUGGGAGGGGGCCCAUUCCCAGCAAAGGACUCUGAGACGUGGCAGACCAACCCCUUGAUAUCCUGCCCAGGGUAGCCUUGCCUCAUGCUCUCUGCCCUCAGGGACUGCUGGAGAGAAACUCUGGGAUUAUGCUUUGCUCAAGCUGGAAUGGACUAAAAGGCAACUGUGCACUGGUCAGCAAAUAUCUAGAAGGUGAUUCCAAUGUGACUAAUGGGCUCAACUGGACCUCGUCCCGUGUCCUCCGGAUGACGUGGGCUCCCCAGAAUGUUUAAAGGAAUGAGAAGAGACCAGUGUGCUCUGGUGGCAGUUGGCCUCCUGAAGUGUGUGGGCUUGAAGAAGGCUCUUUACCCCGGCAGGGCACCCCAUCAUUGUGUGGCAAAGGGCUUGCAGAAAUGAUAGCUCAGGCAAAGACUUGAGGAUGCAGAUACAUUUCAAAUGGUAGCACGUUCUCCUCUCCCUCUAUUUGUGAUGAACACUUGUUGACACUUGACGUGUGCUGUGGGUGUCUGAGAAGUGAAUGGUGUUCUGAUUUCCUGGAAGGCAUGCACAAAAGAAGCCUCUGCUCUUUUUGUUCCCACCACAUUUUAUUUCAGGCUCACUGGUGGCUUGUGCAUGGUUCUCAUUCUAAGCUGUGGCAUGUUCUCAGAGCAAAAAGAGAAUUUUUUUGUAAGCAAGCCUUUUGGGGCCAAACAGGCAAGUAGGUGUGGGAAGUGAAGGGAGCCCCGAGUGUGUGGAGUCCUGAGUGAGAGUGUGCUGUUAACAUGGGCGUGGCCAUGUCAAGGACAGCGGCCUCAGACCCAGGAGAAAUUGGCAAAGCCGUCCCAGGGCGAGGCUCAAGGAAAUGGCAAAGCCUUCCUCGGGUCCAUGUGUGGGUGUUGAGAGUGUGUGCAGGGAAAUGUCCACCACAGCUUGCUUUCUCUGGAGAGUUACAGCCUGAAGACUGUUCCUAUGAACGAAAACUUCUGAAAAGCUGCUUCUGACCUUGAAUGAAAACUCCAGAAGGAAUCCAUCUGUAGAGACUGAUUGGCUGAGCAGAAUCUCAGAGCUGAGGAGAGGUUGGAAUGCUGCAGGUCCGGAGGCUAAUGACCAUAUCUUGGGCUAAGUUUUGGCCCUCUAGCAUGCACACGUGUGCACACACAUGCACAUGCACACGCACGCGUGCGCAUGCGCGCACACACGCAUACGAGUGCACAUACCCCUCUGUCAGAACUAACAUGUUGUAACAGUGGAUAAAAGCAUUUUGGAAUCUGUUGACUUUGUGGGCAACUGACUUCUGUUUCUACCAAUCCAAAACCUAAGAAUGCCAUCAGACAGCAUCUUCGGCCUGUGAAAUCUUCCUCAUCUCCGUGUUCCUGCCUCUGAUGUACCCACCAACGUAUUUUAAACUUGCCUUGAUUUAUGACUUCUCUGUUCUCUAAAACUAUGAAAACUUUGUGAAACUGCUUCCAUGUUGGAAUAUGGAAUUUGGGGUAACCUAAACCUGUAUUCCCAGGCCAUAGUCACUCAAAAUGGCUCCAGACUAAAGUAUCUCUUAUUCCCUUUAAUAUGGAAGCUGUGGUUUCUGCAUAGACACUCCCCUACAGAGACUGUUCCUACCAAGAUUAGCCAUACCUGUCCCCUUGAUCCAGAUGUGCACCAUAAACUCCGCCUCCUUGUUUCUCUGUAAGAACGCCUCCUUCUUCAACUGUAUGCAACAAUGCCACCUCUCUGUUCAGCUGUAUGUAAUAAACACGCUGAGCUUCCGGUG